UCCCCAGUAGCUCAGUUGGUAGAGCAAGCGACUGUUAAUCGCUGGGUCGCUGGUUCGAGUCCGGCCUGGGGAG
rfam:Labrenzia sp. C1B10 contig13, whole genome shotgun sequence.